rnacentral:rRNA from 1 species
ACUCGCAGAAUAAGCACCGGCUAACUCUGUGCCAGCAGCCGCGGUAAUACAGAGGGUGCGAGCGUUAAUCGGAUUUACUGGGCGUAAAGCGUGCGUAGGCGGCUUUUUAAGUCGGAUGUGAAAUCCCUGAGCUUAACUUAGGAAUUGCAUUCGAUACUGGGAAGCUAGAGUAUGGGAGAGGAUGGUAGAAUUCCAGGUGUAGCGGUGAAAUGCGUAGAGAUCUGGAGGAAUACCGAUGGCGAAGGCAGCCAUCUGGCCUAAUACUGA